rnacentral:rRNA from 1 species
AUUGAACGCUGGCGGCAUGCUUUACACAUGCAAGUCGGACGGCAGCACAGAGGCGCUUGCUUCUUGGGUGGCGAGUGGCGAACGGGUGAGUAACGCAUCGGAACGUACCGAGUAAUGGGGGAUAACUGUCCGAAAGGACAGCUAAUACCGCAUACGCCCUGAGGGGGAAAGCGGGGGAUCUUAGGACCUCGCGUUAUUCGAGCGGCCGAUGUCUGAUUAGCUGGUUGGCGGGGUAAAGGCCCACCAAGGCGACGAUCAGUAGCGGGUCUGAGAGGAUGAUCGGCCACACUGGAACUGAGACACGGCCCAGACUCCUACGGGAGGCAGCAGUGGGGAAUUUUGGACAAUGGGCGCAAGCCUGAUCCAGCCAUGCCGCGUGUCUGAAGAAGGCCUUCGGGUUGUAAAGGACUUUUGUCAGGGAAGAAAAGGGGCAUGUUAAUACCGUGCUCUGAUGACGGUACCUGAAGAAUAAGCACCGGCUAACUACGUG